rnacentral:rRNA from 1 species
GACGAACGCUGGCGGCGUGCUUAACACAUGCAAGUCGAACGAAAAGGCCCUGCUUUUGUUGGUUGCUCGAGUGGCGAACGGGUGAGUAACACGUGAGUAACCUGCCCCUGACUUUGGGAUAACUUCAGGAAACUGGGGCUGAUACCGGAUAGGAGCUCCUGCUGCAUGGUGGUGGUUGGAAAGUUUCGGCUGUUCGGUAUGGUCUCGCGGCUUAUCAGUUUGUUGGUGGGGUAGUGGCUUACCAACGCUUUGACGGGUAGCCGGCCUGGGAGGGUGACCGGACACAUUGGGAUGGAGAUGAGGCACAGACUAGAACGGGAGGCAGCGGAGGGGAAGAGUGUACAAUGGGAGGAAGGAAGAUGCAGUGAAGCGGCGUGGGGGAUGACGGCAUGCGGGUUGGAAACCGAAUUCGCGUGGGAGGAAGAGAGAGUGACGGUAAUGGGUAAAGAAGCAACGGCUAACUACGUG